CCGUGGCCAUUAAUUUAAGUCCGACACCUUAUCCAUCAAAAAAUAUAUAUUUUCGCUACAAAACAAUUUUCAUAGAACAUAAGACAGAAGCUGGCUCCGAUCAUUCGAAGGAUGGUCUACAGUCGCGUGCAGCGCUCAUGCUGCCAUUUGAAGCGUUUGGGACUUUGGUCAUCAACCGUCAAAAACAAGGAGUUAUUCAGCAUACUGGAGAGUAAAAGUUGGCCAGUUUAAUGUUUGCUGAAUGCCAAAAACAAUAUUGAUUUGUACUAGUAAUUCAUGUUUAACUGGUUGGCCAGUUUUCCUAAAGGAUCAACCGAGGUCUUCAGCAUCUCCGUGGUCAACAAUCCAGCCAUUUUUCUCCAAAUCUAACUGGUUGAGUCAGUGGUCAAAAUAUCAGUUGCUCUACAGCAGAGAGACAGCAUCAACUGGUAUGUCUGGAUUAUGGAGCUCUACUUCUGGACCUCCUGCUCUAAUUGCUAUGAAAGACUGAGCUCGACCAAACCCAGAGCCUGUAUCCACGCAUGACUCAGUACAAAGCCAGCAAGAGAUGCUUCUCAUUGGCCUCAGCUCCCUCUGUCAGCCAAGUGUUUCCAGACAGAUUGCCAUUUUGCUUCGCCCUGACAUUCAUGGUCAUCUGUGUCUUGCCAAGGAGCCGUCAGAGAGGUCCAGUGGCACGGAGAGAAGAUGGGUUACAGCCUGGUGAGCCUGUCUGGUUUCAGCGUCCGGCCGGUGCGACUGGACGUCAGCUGCUUUCACACACUACAAGAGCUUGUAGGCUGAUAGGCCCAUCCGCCAGUAGCCAUGUCCAAUCGGACGUUAUGCAGGCGCA